rnacentral:rRNA from 1 species
AGUCGACGAUGCUUUCGGGCAUAGUGGCGCACGGGUGCGUAACGCGUGGGAAUCUGCCCUUAGGUUCGGAAUAACAGCGAGAAAUUGCUGCUAAUACCGGAUGAUGACGUAAGUCCAAAGAUUUAUCGCCUAGGGAUGAGCCCGCGUAGGAUUAGCUAGUUGGUGUGGUAAAGGCGCACCAAGGCGACGAUCCUUAGCUGGUCUGAGAGGAUGAUCAGCCACACUGGGACUGAGACACGGCCCAGACUCCUACGGGAGGCAGCAGUGGGGAAUAUUGGACAAUGGGCGCAAGCCUGAUCCAGCAAUGCCGCGUGAGUGAUGAAGGCCUUAGGGUUGUAAAGCUCUUUUACCCGGGAUGAUAAUGACAGUACCGGGAGAAUAAGCCCCGGCUAACUCCGUGCCAGCAGCCGCGGUAAUACGGAGGGGGCUAGCGUUGUUCGGAAUUACUGGGCGUAAAGCGUACGUAGGCGGCUUUGUAAGUUAGAGGUGAAAGCCUGGAG